AUGGCGCGUGUUGCCUGGAGGGCAGUUGGAGUUGUGUUGGGGACUGACUUAUGCCCAAAUAACACCUGGCAAUUCUAUGUGUGGUGUAAUAUGUUCCUACCCAAUGAAACUAGAUUUUAUACUGUUGGUUUGGCGGCAGUAACUUGGGCUAUUUGGCUUGCGCGUAAUAAGGCUACUUUUGAAAAACAAUUGAUCAAAUCUCCUUUUGAGAUUGUGUAUUCGGCUUGUUCGUUUCUCUUGUAUUCGGCAGGUCUUCAGCCGGUGGAAGAAGUGGCAAGAUUGCGACUCGGAGCUGAGAUGAUUAGAGCGAGCACAACCAAGUUGAUGGCAAUGUGUGAAGGGGCCAGGCGCGCAACGGGAGACGAGGGUGAGGUGUUCUCUGGAUGA
rnacentral:rRNA from 1 species